rnacentral:rRNA from 1 species
UGCGUAGGCGGCUAAGCAAGUCAGAUGUGAAAUCUAUGGGCUCAACCCAUAAACUGCAUUUGAAACUGCAUAGCUUGAGUGAAGUAGAGGCAGGCGGAAUUCCCCGUGUAGCGGUGAAAUUCGUAGAGAUGGGGAGGAACACCAGUGGCGAAGGCGGCCUGCUGGGCUUUAACUGACGCUGAGGCACGAAAGCGUGGGUAGCAAACAGGAUUAGAUACCCCAGUA